GGUGGGAGUGUGGAGGAAACGAGGAGUGUACUUGGAGGGGAAGAAAACUUCAUCCUUUCCUUAUUUUCUAAAUUGCAGCUUGUAAAGUUGAUUCACUGACUGCUGGUUUAAAAUGGUAUCUGCUAACAGCUCCUGGUACAGCUUCUCUGUAAUGUGCAAUAAAAUGCCUGCGAAGGUUUAAAAGAAGAUGUAAACUCAAAACACAGCCAUAAACUUGGGCUGACAAUCAACUGAAGGUUGGAGCCAGGAGAAUUUUAUUUUCCACCUUUAAGGCUCUCAACAGAUUGAAUGAUGCCUGCCCACACUGAGGAGGACAGGGGGUUUUAUUCAGUUUACUCGUUCAAACACAAUCUCAUGUGGAAACACUAUCACAGAUAAACCCUGAGAUAAUGCUUAAUCUGGGCACCCCAUGACCCAGUCAAGUUGAUGCAUAGCAUUAACCACCACAGAUUCAUCCUUUGUCAUCCUGGCACCCAUAUGCAUCUCCUUAAACCAUACUUAAUUUCCUAAUAAAGACAGUAAGAAGGUCAUAAUUCUGCCUAGCACAAAACAACUAUCCUGGCUACAACCAAAAAUGCACUAAUUUCUUCUCCAGAAAAAGAAGUAAAGUCCUUGAGUGAUGUUUGCUCUUCUCCUCGACAUCCUGGAGCUUAAGUACCAUGAUGUAAAAUUAGCAAGACUUAACUUCUAUGAUACAGAGUCAUACACCUUAUGUUGCAUGAUAUCAGAAUAAGAGAGAAAAAAAAAGAAAAAGCAAACAAUGAAAACUGUAUAUUUUGUUUAAAUACGAAAGAAAAUAAAUUUAUAUGUAAAUAUAAAGCAGGUAGCUUAUUUAUAGGCUACAUAUACAUAAAAACACGUACAUAACAAAAUAAGGAGGAAAUACUUACGACAGUUACAGUCCUAGUUUCUGUAGAUUGUCAUGUAGUCACAGCAUUUAUAAUUAUCUUCUUCCACUACCCAUUCUUUGUUCUCUUUGCCCUCGGCAAGCACCUCAGCCAGUCAUGGUCUUUGCCUGGUGGGGUGAUCCAACCUGUCACUCCACAAGAGUCUGUGCCAUCAUUAGUUCUGCCUGAUUUGAGUUGUUGUAGUUUGUCAUUGCCCUUUAUCAUAGGUCAUGGUAAUACUAAGAGACACCCUAAGAGAGUUCCUGUAUUCCAGACGUAUUCUUCCUUACCUCCAUCGUGGAGCAGUAAUUUAAUUUCCUCGUGGUAGUCAGGAUCAAUCACCCCGGCCAGCACAGUAACUCUCUUUCACUGUUGGCCUGUUGAUUCAGAGUCAUGAGGAGCCCAAAGCAGCUGAGUGGCAAUCUUAAUUUCCAUUUCCAUGGAAUCAGCUUUGUGUCUCCUAGUAGAAGCAUUCCUCCCCCUGCAACUAAGAUGUUUAGGCCAGCAGGGCUAAGGUUGCAUGAAUAGGAAGCAAAAAUUUUGCUAGUAAGUCACUAAGAGUAAUAAUGAGUGGGCCACUCCCAUUUCCACCCCUUGAUUCCUGGACCCCCGAACCUUGCGUAUGGGAGAAACAGCACCACAUACUGGGCACUAAGUCAGACCGUGUACGCGCUCCUGCUGAACCUCGCCCAAGCCCUGCAAAGAGUUGCACCUAGCUGGCAUUUCAGGUCUUCAAAGGCCAUUCCACUGGUCUAUGAAGUCAGCUGCUUCAUGACGGUCUGGACCACGACACUUUCCAAGCAAUGUUGAUGGUAUUCAGAGGGGUAGAAGAACUACCUCCAUCGCCAUCUCCGAAGCAGAGGCAGAACUCCCUCCAGGAGUCAGAAGGAAGAGAAGCUGUUUAUUUGUUGUUGAUUUUUUUGGUGUGUGCGUGUAACACACCUUAGAAGUAGUUUCAGGGUCAUUAUGGCAGACUUUUGGGUUAAACCUCCAGGUGCUAUUUGAUUACUUUCUUCUUGGAAACCUCCUGUAAUUUUGCAGGGUCCUCUCAAGCAAGCGGGAACAGGGAGCCAGAUGCUAAAGACUAAGUCAAAAGGAAACUCUAAUCUUAAGAGAGGGAGCUAACAAACAAGUAAGUUUCCUUUUAGGCUGACUGGGCUCCCCAGGGUCAGAAAAGAUUCAGAGAUUUAAGAUAGACUCUCUGUCUAAGGGGGAAAAGAAAUUCACACACAUGAUUAUUUCCUUUUUCUUUUUUUACUUAAAAUAUUUCUGUUGUUGUUGAAGUAUAGUCGGUUUACAAUGUUGUGUUAAU